rnacentral:lncRNA from 1 species
ACCUCUCUCUGGUACUGGUACUGCUUAGAAGUUAAAAGCCUACAAAGUCCAAAAUUGAUGAUAAGCCUACAAAGCUUCUACCCUGUUGACCUUGUAGUUGUUGCUCGCACCUUCUUUGGCACUGCUGUUGUUGUUGCCAAUCCCCACCUUGCUGUCUCUGGCAACGAUGCUGGCACAUCUGCUGACGCUCCUUGUGGCUAAGUUGUUGUGCGCACUGUUGACGGCAUUGUUGUUGCUGGCCUUGUCCUUGUUGUCUGGAUUGGCAGCUUUGUUGGCAUUGCUCAAAUUUCUGCUCGGGAUCUCGUGAAUACAAGUCCACGUAUUCUUCUCCUUGCUGAAGUUGUUGCUCGCACCUUCUUUGACAUUGCUGUUUUUGUUGCCAAUCCCCACCUUGUUGCCUCUGGCAGCGCUGCUGGCACAUCUGACGUGCGCAUUGUUGACGGCAUUGUUGUUGGCCUUGUUGCCGGGACUGGCACCUUUGCUGGCAUUGCUCAAAUCCUUUCUCGGGAUCUCUUGAGUACAAGUCUACGUAUUCUUCUCCUUGUUGUAGUUGUUGCUCGCACCUUCUUUGGCACUGCUGUUGUUGUUGCCAAUCCCCACCUUGUUGCCUCUGGCAACGCUGCUGGCAUAUCUGCUGACGCUCGUAUUGGCUCAAUUGUUGUGCACACUGUUGACGGCAUUGUUGUUGUUGCUGGCCACCACGUUGCCUAGAUUGACAGCUCUGCUGGCAUUGCUCAAAUCGUUGUUCAGGAUCUCUAGUUGGGUUAAUCAUGUUCUGUUCGAUUUCUCUUCCUUGCUGCAAUUGCUGCUGGC